GCCGUCCCAGAGGGGUCCAGCCCAGACGUGGACCCACAGUCUGCCACCUCCCUCCAGCCCAGAGACCAGCGACAUCUCAGGCCCCGGCAGCACCACCUCCACCUCACUGGUCAUCAAGAGAGAGAGUUUUGGAAAAGAAAGUAGUUUCUCCUUGAAACCUGCAUCAGGAAACCAGGUGGUUCAACUGACUGCUUUCAAGCCCUCAGGCUGCUGAUGGAAUGUUUGGAAUUGGACACAAAGGCACAUUUAUCAUACAACCUGGUGGGAAGAAAGCGGAAUUGCACAGUGAAUACCACAAACAGAUACACACAAUAGAUGCAUCCUCUCUCAUACAAAUAUUGUAGAUGAUGUAAAUAGACACACACUCAAAAACUGCACGUAUAGAAUACACACACACACACACACACACACACACACACACACACACACACAUAUAUAUAUAUAUAUACACCCCACAUACAGAAUGAAAGACUCAAAGAUGUGCACACACACACACACACAGAGCGUGUGAAGCAGGAAGCGUUUUUUUUAGGGCGACAGCUCCUCCUCCACCACAGUGUCCCAUUCCCAGGGUCAGAAACCAUCUGCUGUUUAGGAAAUCGCUGUUCCAGAGAGGCAACACAACAUUUGUCGUGUGCAUACAGACCUCAGUUUCAUUCUCUUUUGCUGAGUGGCUUAUCACACC
ensembl:lncRNA